GCAUAAAUUAUAUUAAAUUUAAUUAUUAAGAUUUUUAUUUUCCAGCUUGGGACAGUUGUUUGCACCUUGGAGAAGUAAAGUUUGCUGAAAUUCGGGGAAAUGAUUGUGGAUUUUUUAAAGAACGCCACGCUGAUUUGGCUAUCGCAUUGAUGGAUGGUUCUCGCAUGGAUGGCAGAACAAUUAAAGUUACAUAUUUUUAAAUAAAAUAACUUGAUUUUAGCUCAUAGAUUUCAUUAUUCCU